GGCUCUUGUCCCAGGUUCAUGCCUCAUUUCUUUUCCAAGGUCAACAGACAUCUCUCCUCUUCAGAGAGAGAUGCAAGAACCCUAAAGCCUGGGCCAAAGCUUCUCCGCAGCUGUAAUGGUUUCCUGAAGCUGGAGAUUUUGCCUCGACUCCUAGACCCAGUCCUCCUUCUACACUUUAGAGUUCCCGGGGAUGCCAAUUCUCUCUUUAUGAAGCACAACAAAUCAACUCCCUCAAACUCCACUGUAAAGAAACCAAGACUUAGAGACCUGUCCAUAGUCGUUUAGUGAGGGAAUGCAACAUCUGGGUCUAGGGUCCAAAUCUAUCUCUGCUGUGAAGAGGAACUCAUACAGGAGAUCUACUUGAUUACAAAUUCUUGGCCCUGAAGUGGAGGGGAUUGCCGCUCUGACGAUGAGGUGUUGUUUUCAAGCCAGUGACCUUGGGAUGAGGAGGAGAAAGGCAAUGGAGAGGGAAAUGACAGAAGCCUAGAUAAUACUUAUCUGGCAUUCAGUGGAUUUACAUUUCCUUAAAGUAAAAUCUUUGAACUUUGUCUUUUAAAAUGUUAUGUUACGCCCCUUCCCCCACCCCAUGCAUUCUUCCCCAGAUUCUUCUCAAGUCCUCUUCCUUCCUGUCAUCCUUGUCUCAGCUCAAAUGCCCCUUCUUCAGAGAUGGCCUCUCUGACCACCUAAAGUGGUCUCUCAUGUUCCUAUAUCUCACAAAUCCCAUUUUAUUUUCUCAAUAGCACUGACCCUCCCAGAUCUAUUUGAUUAUUGUUUAUGUGUUUAAAUCCCCCAGUCCUGUACCCAGUCCUUUCUCCAACUGUAUCCCCAAUGCCUCAAACAGACCUAGCAUAAAGUGAAUAUAUUUUGGAUAAAUGAGGCAGUGGAUGAAGCCCCAACUUCUUAGCCUUUUAUAUACUUUUUAUACUUUCAGAAUCGCUGAAAUUCCUGUGUGUUUAUAUUCUUGCCAUGUGGAGAUUAGUGGGUGGGGGAGGAGGAUGGACUAUUUAUUUAGUUGGACAAUAAUCCACAAUUUCUAAAGGGAGAGUUUUAAAAAUUAAAGGAAUAUCUUAUCAUCUAUAAAUUUAAUUCUCUUUUAUUAAUAUCAAGGUAUUAUCAAGGAACUUUUGAAAGAAGUUGAACUGUACAGAAAACCUAGUAUAUGACACUGGUCCCUUUCUUGCAAACAUACUUUAAUUUGAUGCAAUAAAAUAUCUUCAUGUAAGUAAUAUAAAAAUUGUUUUCUGAGCAUAUACUGAAUAUCAUGCACUAUGUCUGUUGCUGGAGAAAUCACUGUGAAUAAGGUAAAACUGUCUUUGCCCUCAGGGUGCUAAAAAUUUUGUGAAGGAUCCAGAUAAGGAAACUGUUCAAAACACAUGUGAUAAUUGAUAUGACAGAUCAAUUCAGAGUGCCAUGGGAAUAUACAAGAGUGGUGCUUACCCCAGGCUGGAAUGGAAGGUGGGUGAUAGGCAGGCAGGCCUAAGCUGAGAUCUCCUGGUGAGUUAGCUGCAAGCAGGGGGGAUCAUACAAGGGAGUCAGCAGGUGUAAAAAGGAAUCACAUGAAGAGGUCAGGCUGGACCAGCACAUGCUGACCACAUCACACACACAGAACCAAGAUCAGUUCACUGAUCCUGAACUCCAGGUGUCAGACACAGCCUGUUUCCUCCAGUUGAGUUCCUUCUACCAUGAUUCCAACCCUUGUGUGUAUAUAUCCUCUCAAUCAAUGCACAACCUACAUAUCACUUCUUCCAGGAAACCAUUCCUGAUCUUUCAGACAUAAGAAACUUCUUUCUCCUUUGAACCCCUGUUGUUUAUUGGUUUACUUAGAGACUGUCUCAGAUGGCCAUGCAGGUUGUGCACUGCACAACUUACCCAAGCAUGUGUGGCAGCUAGCUCUACCUACACACGGGUACUUAUUCACACAUCGUAUCUUUCCUGCCAAUCUUUAAGCAACUUGAGGGCAAUUUCCAUUGGCUUUUUCUGUAUUUCCUUUUGUGCCAAAAACAUUUCACUGGAUCUGUUACCCAACUGUCUAUAUCAGUAUGAAUUUAGAAUGUGAGUGAUAUAUUAGUUCCGUGAGAAACAUGAAGAAAACCUAUAUAUAUUUUGGAAAAUGUGUGAGAAUUUGUUAAAAGUGUAUCGUUAAUGGUAUUUAGAUGUAGUGGGAGUGAGAGACUAAUCCUACUCUGCCCGAAGCUCAGUUCAGCUCCUUUCUUUUUAAAUUUUGAAAUUCACUUUGUGUUAUCUCAAGACUAUCUUAUGACUUCAAAGGAUUCACAAGAACUCAAUCUGUUGAAUUUACCAUUGAGUAACUACGCAUUGUUUUCUUCCUUUUCUUUUCUGUUCUUAUUUUUAACAGCGCAACAGUCAUUUGAACUGUACAUCUGUUAACCAGAAGGCCAACCUGACUUCAACUUUUAACUGCUUUCCUAAUAGCUCUAUUGGAAAGCUCUUACAUCUUACCACCAUCUGGUGCCACUAGCCUCUGAAAUCUUUUAGGCAGUCUGUGCUGAAGGGUGUGUGUGUGUGUUGAAAGACAUAUUCAGGGAUUUUCUUUUCUUGAAAUUACCUUCAGUGACUCAGAAAACUUUAGUUUGUAUCUCCUAUCUUUAUUUUAUUAAAUUCAGUUAGACCAUCAGGGUUAUAACUGUUUUGGAUGGUGUCUAAACUCCAUAGAAUUCUACAUUUCCCUUCUGGUUUUUUUCACACACAUACAGUUUCAAAAACAAAACCUCUUCUAACUCCCUUUAUCUAUCUUGGGGAUUUGAGAGGCUCCAGGAAACAUCCCCCUACCCUCCCACCCAAUGAUAUCAUUGUAGGGCUGGGAAUUCCCACUUCUAAUUAAUCUUUGAGGUUGCAUCCCUGAAGGCAACUGUGAAAACACAAAUGUAAUCUAAAAGCAGCAUCAUGUUAAGCCCUGAGAGCUUCAAUUACUUCAUUAAGGGGCACAUGGCUGAGGAAACGAGAAGCAGCACAAUUUAUUACUGACGGAAAAAAGGCAAAGGAAGUGAGUGUUGCCAGAUGGUCUCAAUGAAGGCUCUGGACAUAAAAUAAAAAUGUAUAGAAAGGUAUGUACACAAUAUUGGAACCUUGACAAUUAUCAACAUUACAUUUUACAGUUGGCAAUCAAUUAUAUAACACUUAUCAACCUAAAAUGUUUUUUCUUUUUUUUCCAAGUAGGUACAUUUUUAAAAAUUAUCAAAUUUUCUUUCUUACUGACUCGGAACUAAAUCUGCUGCAUUCAUAGCGAGGUGGGCUACUCGGGAUGCAAUAAAUCCCCUCUACGUCAGGAGUGCCCUGAAAUUCAAACAAUAUGCAAUUGAUUUUACCACAUUUGGAGAGGUGGUAUCUGGGCUGAAAGGGAGAAAACUUAUGGUCUUCAACUAUUACAGCGGGGGGCAAACAUUACUACAUAACUUAUCAACAGAGGACACACUGUCAUGCGUAUGGAUGUUAAGCCACUUUGUAGGCAGAGGAAAUAUUCAGAAGAAGGCCACAGGGCAUGUGCUGUGAAAACUGGUGAGGAGGUCUGAGUUUGGAUAUAAAGCUGUAGUUUCUGGCCUGGUGCUGGCACCUGAAGUCCACAGACAGUUGGGCAAAGAAGAUGGAUGGGAAGCAGAGGAAGCAAAGACAAGUUGAAUGAAGGAGAAACUGGUGCCUUCCGUCAUGGAGCUAAAUAUGCAUCUGGUUGAGGAUUCAGGGAAGUUGAUCCAGCAGGAGGAUCUGGCAGGAGCCCAGCUGCUGCCCCUCACCAACAAGGAUAUUAAUUUUAAGUACCUGUGAAAUGAAGUUCUUAAAACCUAAGAUUCCCCAAAACUCCAGUUAUCAACAAGGUUAUAUAGGAAUCCAAGCCAGGCAUUUGGAGUAGAUGCUGAGAUCUCCUCUCCCUCACACCUUUGCUGACCCCAGCUACCUGCAAUCUUGCCAGAACCAUUCUGGAGGUGAGGUGAUCCUUUUUAUUUGUAAAAGAUCUAGUAAAGUAUACAACAGUUUAUUCUUUUAAUUUUAAUGGCAAUUUACAUACAUACAUACUU